GAGGGUGUAGCUCAGUGGUGGAGUGCCUGCUUAGCAUGCAUGAGGUCCUGGGUUCAAUUCCCAGUACCUCCA
rnacentral:tRNA from 1 species